GCUCUGAGCUGCGGCACGGCGCUACCUGCAGCCCGAGGCUCGGCGUGUCUCGUAGCGACACAAGCGCUGCCCACAGAGCGCGUUUGGGAACGCGGGAUUGUUCUCUUCAGUAACACACAGUGAUGAAGCGGAUAGAAAUGAAGGAGAGCGCUUCUGGUUCUGAGAGGGAGGCAGAAGGUAAAAAACGAGCCGACACCAACGGCUGACGCGGGAAACUGCAUUACGUCUCGUCUCACCACAGCGUUUUGUUCACACACACAAAAGACCCUCCCCCUCGUUUUUUCUCAGUGGUCACAAAGCCGGGGAAAACAAACAAAAAAAAAAAAAAAAACAGAGCAGAACAAAACAAAACCAGCACGAACAAUCGAACAGAAAUCAGGGAAAGGAGGGGCGUUUCUUGUAUUUUGGGGGCUCAGCCUGCAACCAAAACUCUCCUCCCAAAAUGCCUCUAAAAAUCUUCCCGUUGCGGUGAAGAAAGGACAGAGGAGGCAGUCAGAACCAACUCUUCAGCAGAGAACCACGCACGGAUGAGAGAGGCUCUGAAUUUCCAAAGUGGCCAUAAAGCAGAUGCUUGAGGAAGAGCCUAAGGACAGGACAAGGACAGAUCCCCAGCACAUUCUCACAGUCUGCAGGAGCUCCAGCACUUCUUUGGCCAGAGGUAAUGCCUUAUAUGACUGAAAGACAUUAUAUUUUUAUGUGUUAACUGCACCAUUUGGUGUUGUCUCAUGCAAAACUUUACCCCAUCUCAUGACAAUCAAGAAGGCACAGCUGCCCUGCAUGCUGUAAGGAUAUAAGGUUGUCUGGAACCCAGCGCACACUUGUAAGUGAGUUUAGAUUGAAUGUAAGCUUUUAUUCCAACCCCCAUCUAACAAGAUAACUUUUAAAAAAUCCAGAUCUAAUAUUUCUGUAUUAAACCAAGCGUCUGUCUACAAGUAUGAAGGGGUGAAUGGCACCAUGACUCAAGCACACCAUGAUCUCACUGUGUGACAGACUUUUCUUUUCAGCAAUAUUACCUCUACAAAUGUUUCACUGGAAAUUCAUGCCAGAUCAUCUUUGCAAGAAUACCUUCAGGCUCUCAAUAGAUAUCUUUCUACAGAAGUAACGAAUGCAGUGAAUGAUACAGACAUUGGUUAUUUCAUUGUAAAGAGGAGUGCAGAACAAAAAUAUGUCUGAGGCUGGGAUGGUGAGCAGUCCUCUGGAAGUGCUCUUUUCUUACUGUAGAAAGAAAACCCAGAGUAUUCCUGAAGACAACUUGGCUUUUAGACAUCCACUGCUGGUGGGCAGAAGCCCUUCUAUCCUCAUCGGAUAAGUCCUUUUCAAUGCUUUUAAAUCUACUUCUAGGAUGCCUGUUAAUUAUUGGUCUUUUUAUUGGCAACUCUUUGAUGUAAAAUCAAAUAAAGCCAAAUCAGCUUACUUAUUGUUAUAACAGAUGAGUCUUAGUUAACGUUGUCAUUAACCUUUUUAUUCCAGCAUUAGCAUUCAGAUGUCAGACUCCCACUGAACUGGCUGUUGGAGGCCAAUUAUUGUGAGUUUACAUAGAGAUCAGUCUGCAGAAGCAGCCUGAAUACUGAGGUACUGACACAGCAGUGUGCUUUCAGGAGCACCGGUCAAAGAUAAACAAGUUUGAGGGGAAGGAAAAAUCAAAGUGGAUUUUUCUCUGCUAAAAACAUCUGCUGAAGAAAGUGUGGUAGGCAAAGAGGGAGAAGAAAAGUGCAAUAAAGUGAGAUUUGAUGAAUUUCUCUUUUGUAACUUACUGAUAAAGUGGAUACGAUGUAUGAAUCAAUUUUCACAGAAAAAUUAAAAGCACUGAACUAAAAUGAACCCAGCACCGACCAUCUAGAAAGCCAAUUGAAUGAUGGAACCUUUGCCUUUCCAUGUCUUCAAAAGGAUUUGUGUCGAAUAUUUAUUAAAGCACAGGCUCAGCAUCCUGCCCUCAUUCAGUGCAAAGGAGCUGCCCCCCACACCCUACACGUGCAGAGAGAAAUAUGUUGCUGAGUAGUUCUGCACACAAAAACAACUUUGGCCACAGCCUUUAUCGUCUUUACCUAGUGCUGAUGGAGAGAUGUGUUGGACACACUUUUCCACGUAAUCCACAGAUUUUGCUUGCAGUCCAACCACAAAAGCAUCAAUUGUUUGCCUGAAGAAAAAGGCUAAUGAGUCCAUUUGGGCCAACUGUGUGUUUGUGUGUUUGAGAGUGUAAAGGUGAAACAUGAUUUACCACUCUAACGGCAGUAUUUCACACCUAUAGGAGUUUGCAGCUGACCAUGUCAUUCAUAUAGCUAAAGAUGGCGAUGUCUGUUUUUUGAACACUCAUUUUAUUUUUACUUUAUUUCCAGAAAAACUCAC
ensembl:lncRNA